rnacentral:rRNA from 1 species
CCUACGGGAGGCAGCAGUAGGGAAUCUUCCACAAUGGGCGAAAGCCUGAUGGAGCAACGCCGCGUGGGUGAAGAAGGUCUUCGGAUCGUAAAACCCUGUUGUUAGAGAAGAAAGUGCGUGAGAGUAACUGUUCACGUUUCGACGGUAUCUAACCAGAAAGCCACGGCUAACUACGUGCCAGCAGCCGCGGUAAUACGUAGGUGGCAAGCGUUAUCCGGAUUUAUUGGGGGUAAAGGGUACGCAGGCGGUCUUUUAAGUCUGAUGGGAAAGCCUUCGGCUUAACCGGAGUAGUGGAUGGGAAACUGGGAGACUUGAGUGCAGAAGAGGAGAGUGGAACUCCAUGUGUAGCGGUGAAAUGCGUAGAUAUAUGGAAGAACACCAGUGGCGAAGGCGGCACUCUGGUCUGUAACUGACGCUGAGGUUCGAAAGCGUGGGUAGCAAACAGGAUUAGAUACCCUUGUAGUC